rnacentral:rRNA from 1 species
AGAUAUUGGGAGGGAACACCAGUAGGGAAGGCGGCUUUCUGGACUGCAACUGACACUGAGGCACGAAAGCGUGGGUAGCAAACAGGAUUAGAUACCCUGGUAGUCCACGCUGUAAACGAUGAGUACUAGGUGUCGGGGGUUACCCCCCUCGGUGCCGCAGCUAACGCAUUAAGUACUCCGCCUGGGGAGUACGCACGCAAGUGUGAAACUCAAAGGAAUUGACGGGGACCCGCACAAGUAGCGGAGCAUGUGGUUUAAUUCGAAGCAACGCGAAGAACCUUACCUAAGCUUGACAUCCCUCGGACAGGUGUUUAAUCACACCCUUCCUUCGGGACUGAGGUGACAGGUGGUGCAUGGUUGUCGUCAGCUCGUGUCGUGAGAUGUUGGGUUAAGUCCCGCAACGAGCGCAACCCUUGUCUUUAGUUGCCAGCAUUCAGUUGGGCACUCUAGAGAGACUGCCAGGGAUAACCUGGAGGAAGGUGGGGAUGACGUCAAAUCAUCAUGCCCCUUAUGCUUAGGGCUACACACGUGCUACAAUGGGUGGUACAGAGGGUUGCCAAACCGUGAGGUGGAGCCAAUCCCUUAAAGCCAUUCUCAGUUCGGAUUGUAGGCUGAAACUCGCCUACAUGAAGCUGGAGUUACUAGUAAUCGCAGAUCAGAAUGCUGCGGUGAAUGCGUUCCCGGGUCUUGUACACACCGCCCGUCACACCACGGGAGUCGGAAACACCCGAAGCCGAUUAUCCAACCGCAAGGAGGAAGUCGUCGAAGGUGGCGUCGAAAACUG